rnacentral:rRNA from 1 species
GCACAAGCGGUGGAGUAUGUGGUUUAAUUCGACGCAACGCGCAGAACCUUACCUAGACUUGACAUCCCGGGAUUUUCUGGAAACAGAGAAGUGCUUUAGCAAUAAAGAACCCGGUGACAGGUGCUGCAUGGCUGUCGUCAGCUCGUGUCGUGAGAUGUUGGGUUAAGUCCCGCAACGAGCGCAACCCUCGCCUUUAGUUGCCAGCAUUCAGUUGGGCACUCUAGCGAGACUGCCGGUAAUAAACCGGAGGAAGGUGGGAUGACGUCAAAUCAUCAUGCCCCUUAUGACCUGGGCUACACACGUGCUACAAUGGUUGGUACAACGAGUUGCGAGUCGGUGACGGCGAGCUAAUCUCUUAAAGCCAAUCUCAGUUCGGAUUGUAGGCUGCAACUCGCCUACAUGAAGUCGGAAUCGCUAGUAAUCGCGGAUCAGCACGCCGCGGUGAAUACGUUCCCGGGCCUU